rnacentral:sRNA from 1 species
CUUUUGUUUAGUAUUUAAGAUAAUAUAAUUGUAUUUUGAUUGUUAUAUCUAAGAUUUCACCCGUGGUAUACCUUCUCGUAUUACUAUCGACCCAAACCAGUCCUACCAUCUAAUCCUAUUCAGUGAAACUAAACAUAUCUAAUGGAUUUUAACCGUGGUAUACCAUCUUGUAUUACUAUCGACCCAAUCCCGUCGUACCAUCUAAUCUCAUUCAGUGAAAUUAAACAUGUCUAAUGGAUUUCACCCGUGGUAUACCGUCUCGUAUUACUGUCGACCCAAACCCGUCCUACCAUCUAAUCCCGUUCAGUGAAACUAAACAUAUCUGAUGGAUUUCACCCGUGGUAUACCGUCUCGUAUUACUGUCGACCCAAACCCGUCCUACCAUCUAACCUCGUUCAGUGAAAUUAAACAUUUUGUUUUUGUUAUUUUUGUUUUAAUAAUAUUUUAAUUUAAAAGA